rnacentral:rRNA from 1 species
AAAUUGAAGAGUUUGAUCAUGGCUCAGAUUGAACGCUGGCGGCAGGCCUAACACAUGCAAGUCGAGCGGCAGCGGGAAAGUAGCUUGCUACUUUUGCCGGCGAGCGGCGGACGGGUGAGUAAUGCCUGGGGAUCUGCCCAGUCGAGGGGGAUAACAGUUGGAAACGACUGCUAAUACCGCAUACGCCCUACGGGGGAAAGGAGGGGACCUUCGGGCCUUUCGCGAUUGGAUGAACCCAGGUGGGAUUAGCUAGUUGGUGGGGUAAUGGCUCACCAAGGCGACGAUCCCUAGCUGGUCUGAGAGGAUGAUCAGCCACACUGGAACUGAGACACGGUCCAGACUCCUACGGGAGGCAGCAGUGGGGAAUAUUGCACAAUGGGGGGAAACCCUGAUGCAGCUAUGCCGCGUGUGUGAAGAAGGCCUUCGGGUUGUAAAGCACUUUCAGCGAGGAGGAAAGGUUGGCGCCUAAUACGUGUCAACUGUGACGUUACUCG